GUAAAGGCAUGAGGAUCUGAAGUUGUAGGUUAUUCUUGGCUGCAUAUCCAGCUCAAGGCCAACACGGCUACAUGAGCAUUUAUCUCAGAACAAAACCAAAACAGGGAAGUUACAAAAACCCUCUCUGUAUUUCUUUUCUGGGUCUCCCUUUCCCUCCCUCCCUCCUCAGGCAGAGUCCCAUGUAGGCAGGCUUGACCUUGAACUGGCUAUGUAGCUGAACUGACAUCGAAUUUCUGAUCCUCCUCCCAAGUGCUGGAAUUACAGACAACAGUUAUUUUUUGAUCUUCAGUACAGCCAUUCUGGAACUUUCUCCAACAUAUGCCAGUCCAGAUGAGCCUCCCUCAGGAACCAAACUACAAAUGUGACAUAGGCAGCUAGUAUAAUAAGUGAGAAGAACAGAAAAAUAUGUUACUACCUGUUCCUUCCCACAUGAUCCUCUGUGGAGAUCAACUUGCAACACAAGAGAAUGUCUUCCCCCACAGCAAAGUGGAAAGAUGUACAUUAUGGAUUGCAGGUAUGUGCUACACUGCCUGGUGUGUAUGAUGCUGGAAGGAUUGGAUCUAGGACCCUAUGCAUACCAGCCUGUCCAGAGCCAAUAGGACGGACUGUGUUAAACACAAAUAAAAAUGAGGAUUCUCUUCUAGUGUUUGAUCUUUAUGCAAUGCGUCCAUCAAGUGCUGCUGUAAGUUGGUGUAUGACCUUUAU
rnacentral:lncRNA from 1 species